AAGGGUAUAGCUCAAGUGAUAGAGCACAUGCUUAGCAUGCAUGAGGUCCUGGGUUCAAUCCCCAGUACCUCCU
rnacentral:tRNA from 1 species